CCUACGGGUGGCAGCAGUGAGGAAUAUUGGUCAAUGGCCGUAAGCCUGAACCAGCCAAGUCGCGUGAAGGAAGAAGGAUCUACGGUUUGUAAACUUCUUUUAUAGGGGAAUAAAGUUAUCCACGUGUGGCUAUUUGCAUGUACCCUAUGAAUAAGCAUCGGCUAACUCCGUGCCAGCAGCCGCGGUAAUACGGAGGAUGCGAGCGUUAUCCGGAUUUAUUGGGUUUAAAGGGUGCGUAGGUUGUUUGUUAAGUCAGUGGUGAAAGUUUGUGGCUCAACCGUAAAAUUGCAGUUGAAACUGGAAGACUUGAGUGUGUUUGAGGUAGGCGGAAUGCGUGGUGUAGCGGUGAAAUGCAUAGAUAUCACGAAGAACUCCGAUUGCGAAGGCAGCUUACUAAGCAAUAACUGACACUGAAGCACGAAAGCGUGGGGAUCAAACAGGAUUAGAUACCCGAGUAGUC
rnacentral:rRNA from 1 species